rnacentral:rRNA from 1 species
GACGAACGCUGGCGGCGCGCCUAACACAUGCAAGUCGAGCGAGAACCAGGGCUUCGGCCCUGGGGACAGCGGCGAACGGGUGAGUAACACGUGGAUAACCUGCCCUCGGCACCGGAAUAGCCCGGGGAAACCCGGAUUAAUGCCGGAUGGCCCCACAUCCCUGCGGGGAACGUGGGAAAAGGUAGCUUCGGCCUCUGGCCGAGGAUGGGUCCGCGGUGGAUUAGCUUGUUGGUGGGGUAAAGGCCCACCAAGGCGACGAUCCAUAGCUGGUCUGAGAGGACGAUCAGCCACACUGGGACUGAGACACGGCCCAGACUCCUACGGGAGGCAGCAGUGGGGAAUCUUGCGCAAUGGGCGAAAGCCUGACGCAGCGACGCCGCGUGCGGGAAGAAGGCCUUCGGGUUGUAAACCGCUUUCAGGAGGGACGAAGCCACUCGGGUGAACAGCCCAGAGGGUGACGGUACCUCCAGAAGAAGCCCCGGCUAACUACGUGCCAGCAGCCGCCGUAACAC